rnacentral:rRNA from 1 species
CUGCAAAUGGCUCAUUAUAUCAUUUAUAGUUUAUUUGAUCUUCCUAACUACUUGAAUAACCGUAUUAAUUCUAAAGCUAAUACUUGCACCAUUCCCCAACUUCGGAAAGGGGUGUAUUUAUUAAAUGCCCCCCAAGGCGGGGAAACCCGGUUCAUGGUGAUUCAUAAUACCUUUCGAAUCGAUCGCAAGAUCGAUGCUUUUUUCAAUUUUCUGCCCUAUCACCUUUGGAUGGUAGGGUUUUGCCCUACCUUGCCUUUAACGGGUAACGAAAAAUUUUUUUUUUUUUCCGAAAAGGAACCCCGAAAAUUUUUUACGGCAUCCAAGCACCCCCCCAGGCCCGUAAAUUACCCAACCCGAACACAGGGAGGUAUGUACAAUAAAUAUCAUUGUUGGCCCUUUUUGGUCUGGCAAUUGAAAUGACACCAAUUUAAAUCCUUUAUCGGGAAUCAAUU